rnacentral:rRNA from 1 species
UACGUAGGGGGCUAGCGUUGUCCGGAAUCAUUGGGCGUAAAGCGCGUGUAGGCGGUUCGGUAAGUCCGCUGUGAAAGUCGGGGGCUCAACCCUCGAAUGCCGGUGGAUACUGUCGAACUAGAGUGCGGAAGAGGCGAGUGGAAUUCCUGGUGUAGCGGUGAAAUGCGCAGAUAUCAGGAGGAACACCAAUGCGAAGGCAGCUCGCUGGGACGUACUGACGCUGGAGACGCGAAAGGCGUGGGGAGCAAACAGG